AAGUCUGUGGAAUGGGCAUAACCUUAAUAAGUCCUUAUAACGCUCCCAUGCAUCAAACAAAGAUUCCAUAUCUUCUUGCCUAACGUUAUUUAUCUCAUUCCUAACUU